CACCAGAAGGUUGUGGCUGAGAGUCUUCCUCAUCUUCAUGAUCCUCACCACUGCGGCAUCUAUCUGGUACUGCCUGUCCUGGAAGACCCGCUCUGUGGUGCUCACCUGCUCCUCUACCUGAGGAGAGCAAAAUACGGGCCUUCAGUUUCACCUGUGAAGACUGCAUUUGUUGUUAAAAAGGAUAAACCAACAUGAAGAUCAGAGAGCUGUCUAUGGGAGAAAAGCAAGUCGUUUUGAAGCUGAGAAAUGAGGGAAAAUCAAUCAGAGCCAUUGCACAAACAUGGGGCAUAGUCAAUACAACAAUUUGGAGUGUCCUGAAAAAGAAAGAAACCACUGGUGUGCUGAACAACUGAGCAAUGGGUCGGCCAAGGAAAACAACAACAACAACAAC